rnacentral:lncRNA from 1 species
GCAGAGAGAGAGGAACUUCCAGUGCCCGCUAUGGAGCCACAGCCCACAGCAUGGGGAAGUCCCCAUCCAGAGGCAGUGCUGCAGCUAGAGGUAGCUCCAGAGUCCUCCGGGCCCUGCACCGAUACAGCCAAAGACCAGCAAAGCGACAAGCUGCCAGACCUCAUGCCACCUGCUGUAGCCACUGGGCUCAGCCCUGGAGCUGAGAGCAUCGCUGGAGAUAGACGUGGCAGAGAAGAGGUUGCGAGCAUGGCCCCAGCCAGCAGCUCCCACGCUGCCCCUAGUCCUGGGCAUGGAGCGAGCCUUGGUGUCAGAGACCAGGGUGUGCAGUCUGAGCUCCUCUACCUUACUAAAGAGAGGCCUCUUUUAUUUACCAGAGCCACAGCCCUGCUGCCUCAGGACCUUUUCAUUCUGCCGGUGCUGGGGCUGUCUAUCUGCAAGCUGGAGGUGUUGAGAGCAGGAAAAGGAGGCUGUGAGGAAGGGUUCGGGCAGCUCCUCCUGCUCUCAGAGGUGGCCUCCUCCUCCAGGCAUGGAGGUCUGUCCACUACUGGGCUUCUGGGCUAUUUGCCCCUGAUUUGCUCCCUGGUACGGG